UGCAGGUCGAACGAACCUUCGGGUUAGUGGCGGACGGGUGAGUAACGCGUGAGAAUCUGCCCUCAGGAGGGGGACAACAGCUGGAAACGGCUGCUAAUACCCCAUAUGCCGCGAGGUGAAAUGAAUUUCGCCUGAGGAUGAGCUCGCGUCUGAUUAGCUAGUUGGUGUAGGUAAUGGCUCACCAAGGCAUCGAUCAGUAGCUGGUCUGAGAGGAUGAUCAGCCACACUGGGACUGAGACACGGCCCACACUCCUACGGGAGGCAGCAGUGGGGAAUUUUCCGCAAUGGGCGAAAGCCUGACGGAGCAACGCCGCGUGAGGGAUGAAGGCCUCUGGGCCGUAAACCUCUUUUAUCAAGGAAGAAGAUCUGACGGUACUUGAUGAAUAAGCCACGGCUAAUUCCGUGCCAGCAGCCGCGGUAAUACGGGAGUGGCAAGCGUUAUCCGGAAUUAUUGGGCGUAAAGCGUCCGCAGGCGGCCCUUCAAGUCUGCUGUUAAAAAGUGGAGCUUAACUCCAUCAUGGCAGUGGAAGCUGUUGGGCUUGAGUGUGGUAGGGGCAGAGGGAAUUCCCGGUGUAGCGGUGAAAUGCGUAUAUAUCGGGAAGAACACCAGUGGCGAAGGCGCUCUGCUGGGCCAUCACUGACGCUCAUGGACGAAAGCCAGGGGAGCGAAAGGGAUUAGAUACCCCUGUAGUCCUGGCCGUAAACGAUGAACACUAGGUGUCGGGGGAAUCGACCCCCUCGGUGUCGUACCCAACGCGUUAAGUGUUCCGCCUGGGGAGUACGCACGCAAGUGUGAAACUCAAAGGAAUUG
rnacentral:rRNA from 1 species